rnacentral:rRNA from 1 species
GUAGGUGGCAAGCGUUGUCCGGAAUUAUUGGGCGUAAAGCGCGCGCAGGCGGUUCUUUAAGUCUGAUGUGAAAGCCCACGGGCUCAACCGUGGAGGGUCAUUGGAAACUGGAGAACUUGAGUACAGAAGAGGAAAGCGGAAUUCCACGUGUAGCGGUGAAAUGCGUAGAGAUGUGGAGGAACACCAGUGGCGAAGGUGGCUUUCUGGUCUGUAACUGACGCUGAGGCGCGAAAGCGUGGGGAGCAAACAGGAUUAGAUACCCUGGUAGUCCACGCCGUAAACGAUGAGUGCUAAGUGUUAGGGGGUUUCCGCCCCUUAGUGCUGCAGCUAACGCAUUAAGCACUCCGCCUGGGGAGUACGGCCGCAAGGCUG